rnacentral:misc_RNA from 1 species
UCACAGCUAUUACUGCGUCUUUCGAUGUCCUGUCUAUGAUUAUGCCCAUUCCGUUCUUGUUUAUAAUGUAAUAUUUGAUUUUACUUAUUUGUCCUUUCAAACAUUUACCCCUUCAUCUUUAUUUUAUAUAAUAUAGAUUAAAAACAAGGGCUUACAACCCAUCAUCUUUGUAAAACAAUAAAAGAUCAAAUGGGGCAGUUGAAUUUUGGUAUAAUUAGCUGGCCUAUCAUUCAAAUCAAUAUAACUUUCCUGCGAUUGAAUCUAAGUUACAUGAAUAGACAAAAGAACUGCAAAAUGGAAGCAAUUUCUUCUUCUGGGGAAUUCUUUACUUGUCUGAUAUAUUUGAUAGGGUGGGUUGAUAUUGAUAAGAACAUACUUUGGUAAAUGACAAACGUAUCUGGUGUCUCUUUGUUGUUCUGCUUAGCUACAGAGUACAUAAA